GAUGAACGCUGGCGGCGUGCCUAAUACAUGCAAGUCGAGCGAACGGACGAGAAGCUUGCUUCUCUGAUGUUAGCGGCGGACGGGUGAGUAACACGUGGAUAACCUACCUAUAAGACUGGGAUAACUUCGGGAAACCGUAGCUAAUACCGGAUAAUAUUUUGAACCGCAUGGUUCAAAAGUGAAAGACGGUCUUGCUGUCACUUAUAGAUGGAUCCGCGCUGCAUUAGCUAGUUGGUAAGGUAACGGCUUACCAAGGCAACGAUGCAUAGCCGACCUGAGAGGGUGAUCGGCCACACUGGAACUGAGACACGGUCCAGACUCCUACGGGAGGCAGCAGUAGGGAAUCUUCCGCAAUGGGCGAAAGCCUGACGGAGCAACGCCGCGUGAGUGAUGAAGAUCUUCGGAUCGUAAAACUCUGUUAUUAGGGAAGAACAUAUGUGUAAGUAACUGUGCACAUCUUGACGGUACCUAAUCAGAAAGCCACGGCUAACUACGUGCCAGCAGCCGCGGUAAUACGUAGGUGGCAAGCGUUAUCCGGAAUUAUUGGGCGUAAAGCGCGCGUAGGCGGUUUUUUAAGUCUGAUGUGAAAGCCCACGGCUCAACCGUGGAGGGUCAUUGGAAACUGGAAAACUUGAGUGCAGAAGAGGAAAGUGGAAUUCCAUGUGUAGCGGUGAAAUGCGCAGAGAUAUGGAGGAACACCAGUGGCGAAGGCGACUUUCUGGUCUGUAACUGACGCUGAUGUGCGAAAGCGUGGGGAUCAAACAGGAUUAGAUACCCUGGUAGUCCACGCCGUAAACGAUGAGUGCUAAGUGUUAGGGGGUUUCCGCCCCUUAGUGCUGCAGCUAACGCAUUAAGCACUCCGCCUGGGGAGUACGACCGCAAGGUUGAAACUCAAAGGAAUUGACGGGGACCCGCACAAGCGGUGGAGCAUGUGGUUUAAUUCGAAGCAACGCGAAGAACCUUACCAAAUCUUGACAUCCUUUGACAACUCUAGAGAUAGAGCCUUCCCCUUCGGGGGACAAAGUGACAGGUGGUGCAUGGUUGUCGUCAGCUCGUGUCGUGAGAUGUUGGGUUAAGUCCCGCAACGAGCGCAACCCUUAAGCUUAGUUGCCAUCAUUAAGUUGGGCACUCUAAGUUGACUGCCGGUGACAAACCGGAGGAAGGUGGGGAUGACGUCAAAUCAUCAUGCCCCUUAUGAUUUGGGCUACACACGUGCUACAAUGGACAAUACAAAGGGCAGCGAAACCGCGAGGUCAAGCAAAUCCCAUAAAGUUGUUCUCAGUUCGGAUUGUAGUCUGCAACUCGACUACAUGAAGCUGGAAUCGCUAGUAAUCGUAGAUCAGCAUGCUACGGUGAAUACGUUCCCGGGUCU
rnacentral:rRNA from 1 species